CCUACGGGUGGCAGCAGUGGGGAAUUUUGCGCAAUGCUCGUAAGAGUGACGCAGCGACGCCGCGUGAAUGACGAUGGCCUUCGGGUCGUAAAGUUCUUUCGACAGGGAAGAAAAUGCAUAUAAGUAACUGUGUCUGUAUUGACGGUACCUGUAUAAGCAGCCCCGGCUAACUCCGUGCCAGCAGCCGCGGUAAUACGGAGGGGGCGAGCUUUGUUCGGACUGACUGGGCGUAAAGAGCACGUAGGCGGUGUGGUAAGUCAGUAGUCAAAUCCUAGAGCUCAACUUUAGUACGGCUAGUGAUACUAUAAUGCUAGAGUAUCAGAGAGGAGUGGAGAAUUCCUGGUGUAGCGGUGAAAUGCGUAGAGAUCAGGAGGAAUACCGGUAGCGAAGGCGGCAACCUGGCUGAAAACUGACGCUCAGGUGCGAAAGCGUGGGUAGCAAACAGGAUUAGAUACCCUAGUAGUC
rnacentral:rRNA from 1 species